GUGGCCGAGGCGGCGGCAGGAGGGCUCCCGCUGGGCCCGCACAGGAACUAUUUAAAUACUCAUUGCCCGGGGCCCGGCUGUCCCGAUCUGAUAGGGACAGGCCCGGCCUUGGGGCUCUGUCCCAGACGUCUGGUCCCCCUCACCUCGCUCCUGAUUUUUCACACGUGCCAGCGUGUCACCCUGGCACCUACAGCAUCACCCCCAUUGCUGCCGGGUAGAGGGGGCUCUCAGGCUGUUUGAAACAAUGCACAACUACUACUACAAGAGGAUGCUUCCUGGCAUUAAGAGGUCCGAUUUUGUAAGUGAGGUGAAACUUGGUGGUAUGCAAGACAAAUCUGACUCCAGAAAGGGCUAGAGUGGUGUGGAAAGGUUGGGAAGCAGUGGUCUAAACCUUCCAAGACAUAUGGCAAUCCAGCCUCCCUUUGAAAACCUCCAGUGUAGCCUUUCAAGUAUUUGAAGAUGGCUAUCAUGCCCCAUCCCGGCCCCAUCUCCUCUUUUCCAGAGUAAACAUACCCAGUUCCUUCAGCCUUCGCUCAUAUGACUUGCAUUCCAUUCCUUUGUUGCUUGCCUCUGGAUCCUUUCCAGUUUCUCUACAUCCUUCCUAAGCAUUGGUGACCAAACCUGGAAACAGUUCUCCAGUGGAAGCCUAACCACCACUGAGUAGAGGGGUAUAGCACUUAAAAUGAAAUUCAACAGAAAAUGUAAUCAUCUACAGUCCACUUCUCCAAUUUAUCAAGAUCCCUCUGAUUCUUAGCUCUAUGCUCCAAAGUGUUUGCAAACCUUCU